GGGGGAUAUUGCACAAUGGGGGAAACCCUGAUGCAGCGACGCCGCGUGGAGGAAGAAGGUUUUCGGAUUGUAAACUCCUGUCGUUAGGGACGAUAAUGACGGUACCUAACAAGAAAGCACCGGCUAACUACGUGCCAGCAGCCGCGGUAAAACGUAGGGUGCAAGCGUUGUCCGGAAUUACUGGGUGUAAAGGGAGCGCAGGCGGACCGGCAAGUUGGAAGUGAAAACUAUGGGCUCAACCCAUAAAUUGCUUUCAAAACUGCUGGCCUUGAGUAGUGCAGAGGUAGGUGGAAUUCCCGGUGUAGCGGUGGAAUGCGUAGAUAUCGGGAGGAACACCAGUGGCGAAGGCGACCUACUGGGCACCAACUGACGCUGAGGCUCGAAAGCAUGGGUAGCAAACAGGAUUAGAUACCCUGGUAGUCCAUGCCGUAAACGAUGAUUACUAGGUGUUGGAGGAUUGACCCCUUCAGUGCCGCAGUUAACACAAUAAGUAAUCCACCUGGGGAGUACGACCGCAAGGUUGAAACUCAAAGGAAUUGACGGGGGCCCGCACAAGCAGUGGAGUAUGUGGUUUAAUUCGAAGCAACGCGAAGAACCUUACCAGGUCUUGACAUCCGAUGAAUAGCUUAGAGAUAAGUGAAGUCCUUCGGGACAUCGAGACAGGUGGUGCAUGGUUGUCGUCAGCUCGUGUCGUGAGAUGUUGGGUUAAGUCCCGCAACGAGCGCAACCCUUAUUGCCAGUUACUACGAAAGAGGACUCUGGCGAGACUGCCGUUGACAAAACGGAGGAAGGUGGGGAUGACGUCAAAUCAUCAUGCCCUUUAUGACCUGGGCUACACACGUACUACAAUGGCGUUUAACAAAGAGAAGCAAGACCGCGAGGUGGAGCAAAACUCAAAAACAACGUCUCAGUUCAGAUUGCAGGCUGCAACUCGCCUGCAUGAAGUCGGAAUUGCUAGUAAUCGCGGAUCAGCAUGCCGCGGUGAAUACGUUCCCG
rnacentral:rRNA from 1 species